GUUUUCUUGGUGAGGAUGAGGAAUUGGGCCUGCCCGGUGUAGUAUUAACGGCCGCGGUAACUUGACCGUGCAAAGGUAGCAUAAUCAUUAGUUUUUUAAUUGGGAGCUGGAAUGAAGGGUUUGACGGCCUGUAGCUGUCUUUUCUUAUGUGAUGAAUUUUAAUUCAUUGUGAAGAUGCGAUGAUGACAUAAAGAGACGAGAAGACCCUAUAAAGCUUGAGGCCAAGGUGAAGAUUAAGUCAUUUUUGGAAUUUUGUUGGGGCGAUGGCCAUUAUGAGCAAACAUGGUUAAGAGUAGUGUUGGAUAGUUUUGGAGACCUAUAAGAUUGAUCCAUCAUAGGUGAUAGAAGGAGAAGCUACUUUAGGGAUAACAGCGUAAUUGGACUGGAGAGUUCAUAUUGAUAGUCUUGAUUGCGACCUCGAUGUUGAAUUAGGAUUUCUUAGGGCUGAAGGAGGCCUGUGGGAUAGUCUGUUCGACUAUUAAAUUCCUACA
rnacentral:rRNA from 1 species